GGACUCAUCCUCCUCCGUGAAACUGCUUUCGAGCUACCUCCUCCGGAAUCACAAGAGGAAGGUUCAUCCUUCUAUCGCUGACACUCCAAAACGAUAGAAAAAAUGUCACAGUUUCACGUCCAGUCCCCAAUUACCACCAUGAACGCAGAAACGUAAACAAUCACACGCACACUCGCGAAAACACACGGAUCAAAUACGGUUUCCCCACAAAUCGCGAUUCUGAUGACGCGACGACAAAAACCAAAACAAAUCGACACUGCUGUUUUCCUCCACCGAAAACUGUCAAAUUCGCCAAAAUCAUUCCGGCGUUGAUCCACGUCUUAACAGCACCGGCAGGAGGAGGAGGAGGAGGAGGAACGAUGACCAGCGGCAUGUAAGCAGGAGGAUUUCGCUAACAUAACUUCUCCACAGAGCCACAGAAACAUCAACUUUCACAUAAAUUACAACAUUUCGCAACUCUCACAUAAAACGACACCAACGAACGCACAUUCCCACGGCCAAAAUACGCACUUACAACCAGCGGCGAUUCGCGGGCUGUUGUUAAUCUGUGGAAAACUACUGCACCAAAAACGUAAACAAACCCUUGUCCUUGUCCUGGCGAAUCCGCCAAAAUCCUUUCCUCGUUAAUCCACAGCAGCCCCCCGCCACAAAAACACAAACAAUCACUUAACCACAACAUAUCACGGCUCCCAAAUGCCACGGAACGAACGAACACACACUCCCUCGGCCACAGAACGUACUCACAACCCGCGGCGAUUCGCGGACUAUAAUUCAUCCGCGGAAAACUACUGCGCGAAAACGUACACAAACCAACCCGCCACGAACGCAAAAGCUGUCUGUCUGCCGAUUGCCGAUUCCUGUCACGACAUGUCGCGCGCGUUGCGUGCGAGCAGUGAACGAAAGAAGAGAGAAAAGAGAGAAUGAGCGAGCGCGUGGGCUCAUUUUUGCGCUUUGCGAUGAAAUUGUAUAUGCGGUAAAAUACUUUUUAAUGUGAUUAGUUUAACUAGUACAUUUAAAGUAAAUUAAAGUGAAAAAAAAUUCAAUAAAAAUGUCCAUUAACAAAACUGUCAUUUUAGCUAAGUCCCGCUUGAAAAAAUUAACUUUAUAAAUCAUCUCAUAAUCCAGGGUUUUAAAAAAUAUUCUAAGUGUAGGAAAAGUGAAAUUUUGUCAAGGAGUGAAAAUUUUACUAAGUCCAACAAAAACUAGAUAAAACUAGAAAAUAUCAUCUCAUGAUGAAGAGGUCGAAAUUUUUUCUAAGUCCCAAAAUAAUUUGGCUUUCGAAAUUCUGCUAAGUCCAGCAAAAACAAGAUAAAACAAAAUAAUAUCAUCUCAUGAUAAAGAUUUCGAAUUUUUUUCUAAGUUUCAAAAUAAUUUGGCUUUCGAAAUUUUGCUAAGUCCAGUGAAAGCAUGAUAAAACAAAAUAACAUCAUCUCAUGAUAAAGAGGUCAAUUUUUUUUCUAAGUCCCAAAAUAAUUCGGUUUUCGAUUUUUUUCUAAGUCCGGUAAUAUCAUGAGAAAAUGAAAAUUUAACAACUGAUGAUAAAAGGUCUACAAACAUAGAAAGGAACAUAGAUUUCGGCGCGCAUUUUAAGAGUUUUUGGAACAAAUAUCAAACAUGCCAUGAUAUCAAAAACAACUCAAGUUAUUUUUUUGUUCGUCCCAUGAUGCGACUUUCUGCCCGGAUAACCGAACAUGGCCACGAACAUAAAUUGUUCGAGGUGUAUCUGCGAAAAAUCUUGUUGAGUUUAUUUGACCAACAAUGCCACAUCAAGUUGAGUUUAUAGUAGCAAACAACUGAAA